UACGUAGGGUGCAAGCGUUAAUCGGAAUUACUGGGCGUAAAGAGCGCGCAGGCGGUCGUUCAAGUCGCGUGUGAAAGCCCCCCGGCUCAACUGGGGAGGGUCACGCGAUACUGAUCGACUCGAAGGCAGGAGAGGGAAGUGGAAUUCCCGGUGUAGUGGUGAAAUGCGUAGAUAUCGGGAGGAACACCAGUGGCGAAGGCGACUUCCUGGCCUGUUCUUGACGCUGAGGCGCGAAAAGCUAGGGGAGCAAACGGGG
rnacentral:rRNA from 1 species